GACGAACGCUGGCGGCGUGCCUAAUACAUGCAAGUCGAACGAGAGCGACCGGUGCUUGCUCUGGUCAAUCUAGUGGCGAACGGGUGAGUAACACGUGGGUAACCUGCCCAUCAGAGGGGGAUAACAUCCGGAAACGGAUGCUAAAACCGCAUAGGUCUUCGAACCGCAUGGUUUGAAGAUGAAAAGAGGCGCAAGCUUCUGCUGAUGGUUGGACCCGCGGUGCAUUAGCUAGUUGGUGAGGUAACGGCUCACCAAGGCCGUGAUGCAUAGCCGACCUGAGAGGGUGAUCGGCCACAUUGGGACUGAGACACGGCCCAAACUCCUACGGGAGGCAGCAGUAGGGAAUCUUCCGCAAUGGACGCAAGUCUGACGGAGCAACGCCGCGUGAGUGAAGAAGGUUUUCGGAUCGUAAAACUCUGUUGUUAGAGAAGAACAAGUGCUAGAGUAACUGUUAGCGCCUUGACGGUAUCUAACCAGAAAGCCACGGCUAACUACGUG
rnacentral:rRNA from 1 species